rnacentral:rRNA from 1 species
AGAGUUUGAUCAUGGCUCAGAACGAACGCUGGCGGCGUGCUUAACACAUGCAAGUCGAGUGCGCGUCUGUAGCAAUACAGAUGGCGCACGGCGCACGGGUGCGUAACACGUGGGUAACCUGCCCUUUAGUGGGGAAUAACCUCGCGAAAGCGAGGCUAAUUCCGCAUAAGAUCCGCAAGGAUGAAAGCCGAAAGGCGCUGAUGGAGGGGCCCGCGCACGAUUAGCUAGUUGGUGAGGUAAUGGCUCACCAAGGCUAUGAUCGUUAGCUGGUCUGAGAGGAUGGCCAGCCACACUGGAACUGAGACACGGUCCAGACUCCUACGGGAGGCAGCAGUGGGGAAUCUUGCACAAUGGGCGAAAGCCUGAUGCAGCGACGCCGCGUGGGGGAUGAAGCUUCUCGGAGUGUAAACCCCUUUCGACCCGGACGAAUACCUCGCAAGAGGGGUGACGGUACGGGUAUAAGAAGCCCCGGCUAACUACGUGCCAGCAGCCGCGGUAAGACGUAGGGGGCCAGCGUUGUUCGGAAUUACUGGGUGUAAAGGGUUCGUAGGCGGUGUGGCAAGUCGGGAGUGAAAUUUCUGGGCUCAACUCAGAGACUGCUUCCGAAACUGCUGUGCUGGAGUGUGGGAGAGGCGCGUGGAAUUGCAGGUGUAGCGGUGAAGUGCGUAGAUAUCUGCAGGAACACCCGUGGCGAAAGCGGCGCGCUGGACCACUACUGACGCUGAGGAACGAAAGCUAGGGGAGCAAACAGGAUUAGAUACCCUAGUAGUCC